rnacentral:misc_RNA from 1 species
GAUGAAGAACGCAGCGAAAUGCGAUAAGUAGUGUGAAUUGCAGAAUUUAGUGAAUCAUCGAAUCUUUGAACGCACAUUGCGCCCUUUGGUAUUCCUUAGGGCAUGCCUGUUCGAGCGUCAUCUACACCCUCAAGCACAGCUUGGUGAUGGGCGCCUGUCCCGCCCCCCACGGGGGCGCGGACUCGCCUCAAAUGCAUUGGCGGCCGGCGACCUGGCUUCGAGCGCAGCAGAAACGCGUACUCGGGGACCGGGCGCCUGCUCCCAGAAGCCAACCCACCCAGUUUGACCUCGGAUCAGGUAGGGAUACCCGCUGAACUUAAGCAUAUCAAUAAGCGGAGGA